GCGUGGGUCUUGUAGUUUUUUUGACUGUUUUGAAGGCGAUAAUGCACGCUGGAAGGCUAACACAUCGGCGGCUCGGAUAAUGGCAAUCUAUGAAGAUAAUAAUGAAAGUUAUAGAUGAUGAAGAACGUUCAGUGGCGCGGUGGAGAGGAGAGGACGCUUGUCUGACCAGAUAGCAGCCACGACCUCAUGCCAGAAGCAGUUAGCGCGGAGCUAACAGCACAGCUCGUGUCUGAUCUCCAGACAGGAUGCUGAUGCUGAGGCAGGCAGGAUGCUGAUAGAGGAGCUGGUGUUUACGAAGAACACUCUGGAAUGGAUGAGCUGAGACCUGGAAAAGAGAGUUUUUGCAUCUGUGCCCAGUCCCAAGCAAUCAGAUGUUGAUGACCACAGCUGUUUAUCUAAAAACGUUGCCUCUGUUGGAACACAGUGGGAAGACCACAUCUUCGAAGAGCAUUGUUACAUCAAGAGACAACACAGUGUAACUUAUGUAAACCAGUCAACGCAGUGCGAUACUUUCAAGCCUCCUAUUCUGAUGAAUGACCAUGACUUAAAUCUGUACACCGGUCUCCCACUCCACAUAUUUCAUACCCUCGUAGCUGUUCUGCAUCCCCAUGGGAAUCUGGCUUACCAGACUGAAAUUAGACUGAAAAUAGCCUGUGACGUCAUCACCCGGCAUGACCACAGUAUAAAAGGGCGCCGGGAGAAUACGUCAUUCUCUUCUUCGUCUUCAAGGACUGUUUUGUUUGAAGUGUGCAUUUCUGGUAAGAACGAUUAUUCUUCUUUACCAUGGCAAGCACUAGUAAGGCGUUUAAGAAGUGUGUGGAUCCGUGUCCUUGUUAUUUGACACCUGAUGACACACACGAUCUUUGCAUCUUUUGUUUGGUCGAAGAGCUUACACGAUGUCCUCGAGGGGGCAGUUUGCGUGCACUGAGAGUUUUUCCUAUAAAAAAGCUCCGCUCUCGUUUGUCUCUCUUUUCGAGGAAAGAGGGACAGCCAUCAUCUCCCCGUGGUUCAGGACCCUCCGCUGCUGAGGCACGGAGGAAAAUGAGCUUGUGGGGAUCGCAGAUGGACCUGGUUGAUGAGUUGAAAAAGGGUCUUUCCCUUUCGCGCUCAUCAGUCACGGACGAGAGUGAGCUACUGGACGACGAUGCUAUCUCUCUUACAUCGUCUGAUCCAUCGGCUAGUGCUCUGCUGACUCAAAGCCAGGAUGAGCAGGAGAUGUCAGAUGAGGGCGAAGAAGUCGAGACUGAGUUCUCCCAAUCCUCCUGCCCUGCGUAUGAUGAGCUGCUUGAGGUUAUGGAUUGCGCCACAGCAAGGCUUGACUUGGAAGCAGGCCAAGAAAGUGACGCCUAGUGGCAGCCUCAACAAGCGUUUUCUUUCUAGCCAUAGCCCUCCAGCUCAGGUUAGGCUUCCAUUUAUUCCCGAUCUCCACAUGAUCCCCAAGGCUUGGAAAAAUCCAUUCUCGUCUUGCAUCCAUAGAUUCCAGCAUACUAGUUAUGCCAACAUUGAGGGGAUAUGUGAGAAUGGUUAUGAGAAGAUGCCCCCUGUUGAAGAGACGCUGGCCUGCUAUCUGGGAGAAACAUCUUCUCAUAAGGCUCCAUCCCUGCUGUUCAAACCCCUUGAGGAUACAUCUCGUUUGAAUGGCAGGGCAUACUGCAUACUGCAGCAGGUCAGGCUGCAGCCUCGUUGCAUACCAUGGCGGUG